rnacentral:rRNA from 1 species
AGCGAACGCUGGCGGCAGGCCUAACACAUGCAAGUCGAACGAACUCUUCGGAGUUAGUGGCGGACGGGUGAGUAACACGUGGGAACGUGCCUUUUGGUUCGGAAUAACUCAGGGAAACUUGUGCUAAUACCGAAUGUGCCACUCGGGGGAAAGAUUUAUCGCCAUUAGAGCGGCCCGCGUCUGAUUAGCUAGUUGGUGAGGUAACGGCUCACCAAGGCGACGAUCAGUAGCUGGUCUGAGAGGAUGACCAGCCACACUGGGACUGAGACACGGCCCAGACUCCUACGGGAGGCAGCAGUGGGGAAUCUUGCGCAAUGGGCGAAAGCCUGACGCAGCCAUGCCGCGUGAAUGAUGAAGGUCUUAGGAUUGUAAAAUUCUUUCACCGGGGACGAUAAUGACGGUACCCGGAGAAGAAGCCCCGGCUAACUUCGUG